GUUGAAGGUUGGGUAACACUAACUGGAGGACCGAACCGACUAAUGUUGAAAAAUUAGCGGAUGACCUGUGGCUGGGGGUGAAAGGCCAAUCAAACCGGGAGAUAGCUGGUUCUCCCCGAAAGCUAUUUAGGUAGCGCCUCGUGAAUUCAUCUCCGGGGGUAGAGCACUGUUUCGGCUAGGGGGCCAUCCCGGCUUACCAACCCGAUGCAAACUGCGAAUACCGGAGAAUGUUAUCACGGGAGACACACGGCGGGUGCUAACGUCCGUCGUGAAGAGGGAAACAACCCAGACCGCCAGCUAAGGUCCCAAAGUCAUGGUUAAGUGGGAAACGAUGUGGGAAGGCCCAGACAGCCAGGAUGUUGGCUUAGAAGCAGCCAUCAUUUAAAGAAAGCGUAAUAGCUCACUGGUCGAGUCGGCCUGCGCGGAAGAUGUAACGGGGCUAAACCAUGCACCGAAGCUGCGGCAGCGACGCUUAUGCGUUGUUGGGUAGGGGAGCGUUCUGUAAGCCUGUGAAGGUGGCCUGUGAGGGUUGCUGGAGGUAUCAGAAGUGCGAAUGCUGACAUA
rnacentral:rRNA from 1 species